GAUGAACGCUAGCGGCAGGCUUAAUACAUGCAAGUCGAACGGUAAGGUCUCUUCGGAGAUACACGAGUGGCGCACGGGUGCGUAACGCGUAUGCAACCUACCUUUAACUGGGAAAUAGCCCCGAGAAAUCGGGAUUAAUGUCCCAUACUAUUCCGAGAAUGCAUAUUCUUGGAAUGAAAGCUCCGGCGGUUAUUGAUGGGCAUGCGUGACAUUAGCUAGUUGGUGAGGUAACGGCUCACCAAGGCUACGAUGUCUAGGGGUCCUGAGAGGGUUAACCCCCACACUGGUACUGAGACACGGACCAGACUCCUACGGGAGGCAGCAGUAAGGAAUAUUGGGCAAUGGACGCAAGUCUGACCCAGCCAUGCCGCGUGAAGGAUGAAUGUCCUAUGGAUUGUAAACUUCUUUUAUGCAGGAAAAAUAUCCCGGUCGUGAACCGGGACUGAUGGUACUGUAUGAAUAAGCAUC
rnacentral:rRNA from 1 species